rnacentral:lncRNA from 1 species
UUUUUUUUUUUUAUAUCACUAACACUCUUGUAGAUUGGCUUUUCACCAUCUGUCCUAGCUGCAGCCUGCAAAGUUAAAGGAACACUCCAAGCGCCAUAAACACUAUAGCACGCUGUAGUGGGCAUAAUUCCAAAGUUCCACAUUAUAAGGCCUCAAACCAUUUUUAGAACUUUUUAAAUUCUUAACAGGGGUCUGCUCCCCACUCCACUACGUGAACCAGAGAACCAGAGAGCCAGAGACUCUGUUCACACUGAGCUAACCAAUGCAGUGCGGGGCUAGCUCAUUGGCUGAGAACAUCAGCCGAUUAGUCUCAGCCAAUGAGCUAAACCCUGCACUGCCGGUCUUAGCUCAGACAUAGAGCUUCGUCUUCUAGCUGAGGUAGUGGAGGAGGAAGAGCAUCACUUGGCAGAUGGCAGAUAAGAAAGGCACGUGUGGGACCAUAAUCACUACAGCAUGCUAUAGUGGUUAUGGUGCUUGGAAUGUCUUUUAAUGAUUAUUCUAGCCUAAAAGAUGUUAGACACAUCCCAGGACAGGAGUUCACAACUCAAGAAUUCCCAAGCCUACUGCCCCUCCCUGCCCCCACCCCAAGGCCCACACUCUGUCUUAUGUCCAGCUUUUCUUCUUGUAUUUUAAAUUAAUCUUGUAACCUGUAAUUCUUUUCGAUUAAUAGGCACGCUUUUUUUGGAAUAAAGUUUAAAUCACCUUUAAACCUACCUGAAAUGCUGUCUCCCUAUUGCAGCCUGAUCGGGCUUUGCUGAAGUCACCAAACAUGAUGACUAUUGUAUCCUCAUAGAGAAGCAUUGCACACACACCCGGCGUCAGCAUACUUUGCAUGCUGACUCCAGAGGUAAAAUAAAUUCAAUUAUCCUGGUCAGUCUGCUCAACCCCCUCCGUCCACUCUAUAUCUCAUUCUCAGCCUUUUCUGCUGUAUUUUAAAUGAAUCUCUUUUAUUAUCAAUCUCCCCCAGAACAGAUCUUCCAUUUAAUCUGAUUCUCGAAACCCUGAUCUCUAAAUCCCGCGAUUAACCUCUACUGUACACCUACUACUUAGCAAUUAAGACUUGAUUAUAAGAUGAAAGAAUUCCUGCCUCAAUUCUAUCUGCAUCUAAUUACAUACUGCUCUUUCUCUAACCCAAACCAAUUCGUUCAGCAUUAAUGGUUGCAAGGCACCAUGGGUAAAGGCAUAACAAAAGGUACGUACAAUUAAAUACAAUCAUUGGAAAUUAUUUCCACUUCAACAUUUCUGCAUUCAUUUCAAACGAAUCCUGCUGGUUUUUAUAGGAGGGACACAAAAUAUGUUGCAGGCUUCCUUCGUGUCAAAGGAGUUAAUCUGAGCCUGACUGUUACUUAUCUCCCACAAUCCUCUCUGGCUGAUGUGUUUUGACAUCUUUGUCGUGGUAUUACAAACAGUGGAGAAAAAUAUUUGUGCACGGGCACAUUCCUCCGUAUGAACCCAAAUAAACGAAUUUGAACUGUAGACACUCACAGAUUAAUCCUUGCUGAGAAAGACAUGGCCAUGUUCCAAAGAGUUUGUAAAAAUAGUUAAAAUGGCCUACCACUGUCCGUUUCUCCAAUGCCCUUCAGGGAUAUCCAGCGCGGGGGUGACUGGCAGAGAAAUUGUUCUACACAACAGUGAAUAUGACAAAUUGAGCUAAGAAACGGCAGUGUGUUUUCCUCUGUAUUGAAGGAAGGAAAUUGCCCAGCAGCGGCCCAAACUAUCCAUUUAUAUACACAACAG